CACAGACACACAUAUAUAUGCAAACACAUAUACUUAUUUAAUCCUCACAAUGACCCUAUGAAGUAAGUAUCCUAAUCUCCAUUUUAUAGUUGAGGAACUGAAGACACUAACAGGUGAAGAAAAUUGCCCAAAGUUGAUUAGCUGUUGAGUAGUAGAGCUGGGAUUCAAAUUUUUAAGUUGGCCCUAGAGUCCAGACACUCAAUGACUCUUCUACAUAAGGCAAGAAUAAGGGAGUGGAUAUACUAUGAAGAGGAAACAGCAUAAUCAAGGACCCACAGGCAAGAAACUAUAUGAAGAGUACACGGAGGAGUAAGUGGGAAGCAGACAGUGGCAAGAAGUGAGGUUCACCAUGAGGUACAGCCUUGUACCACCCCCCAGUGUCUCCUUGAAUUUGCUGGCCUUGCGUCUGAGCUCAGUCUGGGAUUCUGAUGACACCAGUUGCCCAGCAUGGCUUCCAUUAACUAUUCCUAGUUCUGUCUGAGAAUGAGCUGAAAUCUGUCUCCAGGUGACUUCUGCUCCCAGGUGACUUCUGCUCCCAGGUGACUUCUACCUAUGGGUUGUUGCUCUGACCUUGGACCUACAUAGAAUAAGCUACCCCUGAGCUUCCUCCAGGUCUGGACACGUGAGCAGCCAUCUCAUCAGAGUGGAGAAUGAAACUUGACACACAGAGUGAGUGCCUAUCACUAUCUAAGCUUCCAGGUAAAAUAUGCAGCAAAAACCUUGGUCCAGAUAAUCACCACGUUCUGAAGAUGAAAAAUAACAGCUGUCUUUGGUACUCAUUUGCUUGUAAAAACUUUUCUCUAAGAAAAUCUUGUGAAGUCCUAUACGUUUGAAAUGUACUUGUUCCAUGAUCUUUGAAAUAAAUGCUUAAGAACCAUGAAAUUACUUUGGGUGAGGGUGGGGGGAUGUGUUGAUUAUUUGAUUGCAAACAAUUUUGUUCAUUUAACUAUUCAUUAACAUAAAAAGAUGAAAAAUUCUUGGAACAUAUUUUGCAUAGAUUUAGAACUUAAAGAAUUUAAUCAAAAGUAAAUAUAACCUUGAGAAAUUAAGCAAUUAAAUAUUAGGGAACUAAAUGCUAGACUAGUAUGAUUAAUACUGUGGGUAUUUUUUUUUCUUUUUCUUGUGGGGGAAGUCCUUGGUUAUUAGAAACUUGUAAGAUUACUAAGGACAUAACCUCAAGGGACUCACUUCUCAAUAUCCAAAAGGAGGAACAGAAAGAAAAGACCUCGUCUUAAAAGGUCUGGCUUAGAGAUGCUUAUAGAUAUAGGUUUGAAAAAGCAAUCCCCUAUAGAAGUAGGGAGGUGAGAGAAAACUCAGCAGCCUUAAAUAAGCAAAGGAAACUUUAGUAACUCUAGGAAAAGUAGAAGUGAUUUUAGCUCAAUAUCUCAUAGCUCUGUUCCAUAGGGCUGCGAGCUCCUUAAGAGCUAGCCUGUGUCUAAUUCAUCUUUGCUACUCCAAAGCCUAACAUAGCACCUUGGCAUAGUAGACAUCCAAUAAAUAUUUGUUGAGUGAAUGUUACCUAAUGUUUCUUGAGUGCUUAUUAUAUGUCAGGCUAAGUCUAAGUGCUUUACGUGUAUUAACUUUAAAUUUCAUGACAACCCUAAGGGGUAGAUACUUUUAACAUUGCCAUUUUAAGAGGAGAAAACUGAGACACAGGUAAUUUAAGUAAUUUGUUCAAGGUUUCACAAGUAGCAUGUGGCUCAGCUAGGAUUUGAACAUAUAGGGUCUGAUUUAAUGCUUAUACUCUUGAAGACUCCUUGGGACUCUAAUAUAGGGAGUUCGUGAACCAUGAACUCUCUUGGUUCCAUGCCAGCGAAAGUGGAAGUAGGGUUCCAGUAAUAAUACUUGGGCAGGAGGGAGGGUCCUUUAGAGAUAAAACCUUAUUUUGUGCCAGAAAAACACCCAAUCUAAUCUUAUUUAACAUUGUCACUAACUCUAUGUGGUAGGCAAUAUUAUUCCCAUUUGGAAAAUUGAGAUUCAUCAAAACGAAGAAUGUGUUCAAAGUCACAGAGCUAAUAAAUAGCAGAGUCGAUGUUCUUUUCACCAUGGAAUUGUACUUGUUCCACGAUCUUUGAAAUAAAUGCUAGAGAACCAUAAAAUUGUGAGGUUCACUGACCUCACGCCAAGGUUCUAUUGUCACUUAAAAACUCUAGUUCCUGGAUUUUUCUUGCUCAGGAAAUGUGGCCCAACCUCUCCAUAUCUCUUGGUUUGAAGAGCAUCUCAGCUGCUACUGUCUUCAUCUGAACCCUGCUUGAGACAGAUCAGUGGGGUAGGGGAAGUGAAACAAAGGAAAAAGGGACAUUGGUUUAAUGAAGAGAAUGAGUUUGUUUACGAGAAAUGUGUGGACAUUGAGCCAAAUGCUUAAAGAAACAGGAAGGUUGUUCUAAGAGAGGAGGAUGGGGUGGAUGCCUUCUGGGCUGAGCCACCAUCCUGUCCCAGAGGUCCAAAGAUCAGGACCCCAGUCUGUGUUGUAAUAACAGAAGAGUUCAGCUUCCCCAAGAGAAGGUCCCGAGGAAUCCUGAACUCCAUUCUUUUCAAGUGUGUGUUGCUUUCUGGGUUCUGCUUUUAAGUCUACAUCUGGGGAAGGCCUUUGUGAGUCUGAUCAGCUGAGCCCAGUCACAUGACCAAGUCCUAGCUCAAGGGACACCAUGAUUGUGGCCCAGCCAGUCACUCUCUCAAUCUUGGACUUUUGAAUUUUGAGUGAGGAACACAAAGAAGUAGGGGUGGUAGAGAUUUUGCUGAGCCUGCUUCUUCAGAGUGCCAGCAAUUUUAUGAGCUCCUCAAUACUCUUAGAAAGAUCCCUGAUUAGUGCCAGGGCCCCAGAGAAGUCACUCUCUUCUCUUGCCCAGUUGCAAAUUAGUAGGCUAAUUUUUGUCCUCCCAGGAAGAGGAAGGAAGCCAAGGAAUCUGAAGCCAUGUUCAGCUUUUGUCCAGAUUCCUGUCAGGAGCCAUGUAGAAUGCCUUUAAAUACCAAGGUGAGAAGUGGACCUGGAAGAGCUAAUACCUUUAAGCAAGGAAACAGCAGUGUCAGCUGAAGGCUGCCAUGAUAUUCUAGGACUAUGAUUCCCAAAACUGAGCUGACCCAUCUGUGGGCUCCAUCUGGAGUCACAGGCCUUCUCUCUUGGAACUCACGCAUAUGCCUAUAUUCACUCUGAUGCUCAACUACUGUCCCAGUUUUAGGAAAUUGCCUAUACUGGUGUCUAAGUCUCCAGCCCUUCACUCAAUCUGCCUAAUGGACCUUCAGGGGAAUCUGACCUUCCAUGCAUAUCCAUUUCCAGCUCACAAACAGUUUUGUAAAAAUGGACUAAGCUCAACCACAGGGGAAGAAGGACCAUAAACCUUCAAAGCCAAAAGGAAGAGACUUGGGUGAAAACCUGCCUGUGUGACGUCAUCUCUCUGAACUUCAAUUUCCUUGUCUGUAAAAUGGGAAAAGAAAUGGGACCUACCAUAGGGUUGUCCUGAGGUAUGAAUGAGACAAUGCACAUUUAAAAUCCUUGUAUGUUCAAUAAAUUAUCUCGUUGACUUGAAUUUAUAUCCAUCUUUUUUCUAGCCAUCAUAACACCAGAGAAAUAUUCUAUUCCUGAAUUUCUCCCAUAACUGCCAUACUUCACAAUGAUUUCACACCUAUUAUGUAAUUGGCUUUUAAACAAUUCCUUUGAAGAAAGCAAUAAAGAAAUCAUGAUGUUUG
rnacentral:lncRNA from 10 species